rnacentral:rRNA from 1 species
GAUGAACGCUGGCGGCAUGCUUUACACAUGCAAGUCGAACGGCAGCGGGGGCUUCGGCCCGCCGGCGAGUGGCGAACGGGUGAGUAAUGCAUCGGAACGUGCCCAGUCGUGGGGGAUAACACAUCGAAAGAUGUGCUAAUACCGCAUACGUCCUGAGGGAGAAAGCGGGGGAUCUUCGGACCUCGCGCGAUUGGAGCGGCCGAUGUCGGAUUAGCUAGUUGGUGGGGUAAAAGCCCACCAAGGCGACGAUCCGUAGCGGGUCUGAGAGGAUGAUCCGCCACACUGGGACUGAGACACGGCCCAGACUCCUACGGGAGGCAGCAGUGGGGAAUUUUGGACAAUGGGGGCAACCCUGAUGCAGCAACGCCGCGUGAGUGAUGACGGCCU